CAUCCCAGUGAAGAAUGAUAUAUAAAUUAAAAGUAGUGGACAGAAUUCUCUUGAUGAGUAAUAGUUUCUGAGGGAUG